UACGUAGGGGGCUAGCGUUGUCCGGAAUCAUUGGGCGUAAAGAGCUCGUAGGUGGUUCGGCAAGUCAGUUGUGAAAUCUCCGCGCUCAACGCGGAGGGGUCAGCUGAAACUGCUGUGACUUGAGUCUGGUAGGGGAGUGUGGAAUUCCCGGUGUAGCGGUGAAAUGCGCAGAUAUCGGGAGGAACACCAGUGGCGAAGGCGGCACUCUGGGCCAGUACUGACACUGAGGAGCGAAAGCGUGGGGAGCGAACAGG
rnacentral:rRNA from 1 species